CAACGUAUCCACGUACAAACCAAAACCUGUGAACUUGUUUCCCUUUGGAGCGGCAAUUACAAACUGAAUCAGGACCCAAGUGAAUCUGUUUCCACUUCAUUGUUGAAACAGGGACUUGAUUCGGGCUGCUCUGAAGUGGUUGUCUUUGUUCAUUCACUUAAACCAAACAUUAUAAACCCAUUGAACCUUAUUCAUUCUUGAACUUAACUGGAAAGCUACAAGGCUUUCUAAAUCUUUUUAAACAAAAAGAA
rnacentral:misc_RNA from 1 species